GACGAACGCUGGCGGCGUGCUUAACACAUGCAAGUCGAACGGAAAGGCCCUGCUUUUGUGGGGUGCUCGAGUGGCGAACGGGUGAGUAACACGUGAGUAACCUGCCCUUGACUUGGAUAACUUCAGGAAACUGGGGCUAAUACCGGAUAGGAGCUCCUGCUGCAUGGUGGGGGUUGGAAAGUUUCGGCGGUUGGGGAUGGACUCGCGGCUUAUCAGCUUGUUGGUGGGGUAGUGGCUUACCAAGGCUUUGACGGGUAGCCGGCCUGAGAGGGUGACCGGCCACAUUGGGACUGAGAUACGGCCCAGACUCCUACGGGAGGCAGCAGUGGGGAAUAUUGCACAAUGGGCGGAAGCCUGAUGCAGCAACGCCGCGUGCGGGAUGACGGCCUUCGGGUUGUAAACCGCUUUCGCCUGUGACGAAGCGUGAGUGACGGUAAUGGGUAAAGAAGCACCGGCUAACUACGUG
rnacentral:rRNA from 1 species